rnacentral:rRNA from 1 species
GACGAACGCUGGCGGCGUGCUUAACACAUGCAAGUCGAACGGAAAGGCCCUGCUUUUGUGGGGUGCUCGAGUGGCGAACGGGUGAGUAACACGUGAGUAACCUGCCCUUGACUUUGGGAUAACUUCAGGAAACUGGGGCUAAUACCGGAUAGGAGCUCCUGCUGCAUGGUGGGGGUUGGAAAGUUUCGGCGGUUGGGGAUGGACUCGCGGCUUAUCAGCUUGUUGGUGGGGUAGUGGCUUACCAAGGCUUUGACGGGUAGCCGGCCUGAGAGGGUGACCGGGCACAUUGGGACUGAGAGACGGCCCAGACUCCUACGGGAGGCAGCAGUGGAGAAUAUUGCACAAUGGGAGGAAGCCUGAUGCAGCAACGCCGCGUGCGGAAUGACGGCCUUCGGGUUGUAAACCGCUUUCGCCUGUGACGAAGCGUGAGUGACGGUAAUGGGUAAAGAAGCACCGGCUAACUACGUG